rnacentral:rRNA from 1 species
UGGGGAAUAUUGGACAAUGGGCGAAAGCCUGAUCCAGCCAUGCCGCGUGUGUGAAGAAGGCCUUUCGGUUGUAAAGCACUUUAAGCGAGGAGGAGGCUACUUAGAUUAAUACUCUAGGAUAGUGGACGUUACUCGCAGAAUAAGCACCGGCUAACUCUGUGCCAGCAGCCGCGGUAAUACAGAGGGUGCGAGCGUUAAUCGGAUUUACUGGGCGUAAAGCGUGCGUAGGCGGCUUUUUAAGUCGGAUGUGAAAUCCCUGAGCUUAACUUAGGAAUUGCAUUCGAUACUGGGAAGCUAGAGUAUGGGAGAGGAUGGUAGAAUUCCAGGUGUAGCGGUGAAAUGCGUAGAGAUCUGGGGGAAUACCGAUGGCGAAGGCAGCCAUCUGGCCUAAUACUGACGCUGAGGUACGAAAGCAUGGGGAGCAAACAGG